rnacentral:tRNA from 3 species
GCACCCAUAGCUCAAUUGGAUAGAGCGUCUGGCUACGGACCAGAAGGUUAGGGGUUCAAAUCCCUUUGGGUGUACCA